rnacentral:tRNA from 1 species
AUUCAAAUAGCUUAUUAUUUAGAGCGUGACACUGAAGAUGUUAAAGAGGUUAUUUAACCUUUGAAUA